rnacentral:rRNA from 1 species
UACGAAGGGGGCUAGCGUUGUUCGGAAUUACUGGGCGUAAAGCGCGCGUAGGCGGUGUUCUUUGUCAGAGGUGAAAUCCCGGGGCUCAACUCCGGAAUUGCCUUUGAAACGGGAACGCUUGAGUCCGAGAGAGGAUGGCGGAAUUCCUAGUGUAGAGGUGAAAUUCGUAGAUAUUAGGAAGAACACCGGUGGCGAAGGCGGCCAUCUGGCUCGGUACUGACGCUCAGGCGCGAAAGCGUGGGGAGCAAACAGG